rnacentral:rRNA from 1 species
GAUGAGCGCUGGCGGCGUGCCUAAUACAUGCAAGUCGAGCGAACGGACGAGAAGCUUGCUUCUCUGAUGUUAGCGGCGGACGGGUGAGUAACACGUGGAUAACCUACCUAUAAGACUGGGAUAACUUCGGGAAACCGGAGCUAAUACCGGAUAAUAUUUUGAACCGCAUGGUUCAAAAGUGAAAGACGGUCUUGCUGUCACUUAUAGAUGGAUCCGCGCUGCAUUAGCUAGUUGGUAAGGUAACGGCUUACCAAGGCAACGAUGCAUAGCCGACCUGAGAGGGUGAUCGGCCACACUGGAACUGAGACACGGUCCAGACUCCUACGGGAGGCAGCAGUAGGGAAUCUUCCGCAAUGGGCGAAAGCCUGACGGAGCAACGCCGCGUGAGUGAUGAAGGUCUUCGGAUCGUAAAACUCUGUUAUUAGGGAAGAACAUAUGUGUAAGUAACUGUGCACAUCUUGACGGUACCUAAUCAGAAAGCCACGGCUAACUACGUGCCAGCAGCCGCGGUAAUACGUAGGUGGCAAGCGUUAUCCGGAAUUAUUGGGCGUAAAGCGCGCGUAGGCGGUUUUUUAAGUCUGAUGUGAAAGCCCACGGCUCAACCGUGGAGGGUCAUUGGAAACUGGAAAACUUGAGUGCAGAAGAGGAAAGUGGAAUUCCAUGUGUAGCGGUGAAAUGCACAGAGAUAUGGAGGAACACCAGUGGCGAAGGCGACUUUCUGGUCUGUAACUGACGCUGAUGUGCGAAAGCGUGGGGAUCAAACAGGAUUAGAUACCCUGGUAGUCCACGCCGUAAACGAUGAGUGCUAAGUGUUAGGGGGUUUCCGCCCCUUAGUGCUGCAGCUAACGCAUUAAGCACUCCGCCUGGGGAGUACGACCGCAAGGUUGAAACUCAAAGGAAUUGACGGGGACCCGCACAAGCGGUGGAGCAUGUGGUUUAAUUCGAAGCAACGCGAAGAACCUUACCAAAUCUUGACAUCCUUUGACAACUCCAGAGAUAGAGCCUUCCCCUUCGGGGGACAAAGUGACAGGUGGUGCAUGGUUGUCGUCAGCUCGUGUCGUGAGAUGUUGGGUUAAGUCCCGCAACGAGCGCAACCCUUAAGCUUAGUUGCCAUCAUUAAGUUGGGCACUCUAAGUUGACUGCCGGUGACAAACCGGAGGAAGGUGGGGAUGACGUCAAAUCAUCAUGCCCCUUAUGAUUUGGGCUACACACGUGCUACAAUGGACAAUACAAAGGGCAGCGAAACCGCGAGGUCAAGCAAAUCCCAUAAAGUUGUUCUCAGUUCGGAUUGUAGUCUGCAACUCGACUACAUGAAGCUGGAAUCGCUAGUAAUCGUAGAUCAGCAUGCUACGGUGAAUACGUUCCCGGGUCU